AUCACCUUCACUUAAUGUCACACAGAGAACAUCAUUUUGUCAAACUAUUUUUAACUUUUGCAGGCUCUCGAUGAGAAAAUAAUUCAGGAAACUCCCAAGACCACAAGUUCCACAUCAACAAAUGAAACUGUUGAACAGAUGACAAGUGACAAUAGCCAGAUUGAAAUGGCUAUGAGCAACUUGAGCCAGGCAAGGCCAGUGCUUGACCUAGUCACCAGAGUUGAAAAGGAUCUUGAUGAGGAAAUGCCUCAGAAGAGUCCAGAGACCACAAAUUCCCCAUCAACAAAGGAAGUUGUUGAACAG